rnacentral:rRNA from 1 species
CCCUUAGAUGUUCUGGGCCGCACGCGCGCUACACUGACGGAGUCAACGAGUUGUCCUGCAUCGGAAGGUGUGGGUAAUCUUUUGAAACUUCGUCGUGCUGGGGAUAGAUCUUUGCAAUUUUCGAUCUUGAACGAGGAAUUCCUUGUAAUCGUGAUUCAUCACAUCACGAUGAAUACGUCCCUGCCCUUUGUACACACCGCCCGUCGCUCCUACCGAUCGAAGAGUUAGGUGAAUUGUUUUGAUCGAUAAGAUUUGACUAUGGUCAACUCUCGUUGUGAAAUUCUGUGAAUCUGACUGUUUAGAGGAAGGAAAAGUCGUAACA